CUCGGCAUGUCUGGCUUAGAGAUCUAUUCAACUGAUAGCAGCCGCCUCUUCUGGGGAGAACAGAUCUUUCAGAAAGCCCUGACUGUGCUGCUAAUCAAACACAACAUUGUUCUCAGAGAGGAGAGAGAAUGGAAAGGUUUGUUUCAGAGUCACAACUUUUUUUUUUUUUUUUUAAGAGGCACCCGAGUUGUUUUAACAAGUUGCUACAAAACUUGGGCUUCCUGAGGUGAGGCUGUUUUGCACAGUGCAUGCUCUGUACAAAAUCCAGAGAGGGAGGGAGCAGAGAAAGUUAGAGUCAUUAAAAAAAAAAUAGCCCCGGGCACUUGAUGGCUGGAAAUGAUGUCAGUCGCAGCCACUCCUCUGUUAGAACUCCAACCAAACAAUGCGCAGGCAGUCCCCAGCAGCUGCCCUCCAAAUGUCAGCGCCAGCCCGGUCAAAAGCGCGGAGACCUCCCCAGCUGAAGGACUCUGUGCUGUGCCUUUCGCGCCCACAUUUUCCCCAAGCACUCCCAGGAACCUGGCAACAGCCAGCUGCAUCUCCCCCACCACCCCCACACUCCUCCGUCCCUACCUCCCAACCCAACCCAACCCAACCCAAAGUCUGAAACAACAAAGCGUGGCCGCCGGCAAUCCCGCUCUCGAGCGUCCCCCUGUGGCCAAGAUCGGGACGUCAUUUGUGUGCUUUGUAACCCACCGCUCAGCUGCAAGGGCUUUUCGGAUUAGAAAGCUAAUAUACCUGGCACACCCAGCAGGGUCUGGGGCGGCACCCCUCAAUCGACUACUUGAACAUGUCUGCAGGGAGAGGUAGUAUUGUCACGCUGCAAAUAGCUCCAAGAUCACCGGAUUUGCGGAUGAAGGAAUGAUGCCCUACCCCAACCUUCAGAGGUAUCUCGGAUUCUGGAACUCUGUCCCAAGCAAACUCACUUGUGGAGGGUGCCAUCUGGGUGACAGUGGAGUGGUGACAGCGUGCAAAACAGCAAGAAGUUUUCCAGGGAGUGAGAAAAACAGCCCCGCCAGCCCCCCUCCGCCCAUCUGCCCGGGUUAACAGGAUUGCUGACAGGUCGGGCCCACGUGAUAGUCAAGAAAAGAGGCUCAAGCUGAUGAAAAUCCAAGAAAUCUUCUUAGGAGCCUUCCUUUCGAAAUGUAAAUGACUGAGUCAUUGCUUUGCUAAGGAGGGAAGAAAGUUAACACUCACACCAAGAGACUCAUUCACUGCUGUUAGCUCCGGCAGUUGGAUAAAAAGUUUUAGCAGAAGCAGCAACAAAUCUGCUUUACAUACUGGCGCAGUAAGGGAAUUCCUCUCUUUCGGGAUGAAUGCCAUCCACACAAAAGAGCUCCUGUUGACAUCUCAUUUACAAUCUCCCCCAGGACACAGACAAGACUGUUUCAAUAAACCAGGCUCAGAAACACCUAUUGUUCAAAAUCUUCAACUAGCAACAGGCUGCCACCACUCCCUAUGGCUUUGCAAAAUAAAAGAUUUAGAAGGAGAAGGAUGGGGACAGUGGAAACUCUGAAGGGGCAGGGAAAAAGUCCCUUUGACCCGAUGCUGUCAGAAAGCAUGCAUGAAGAAUAAAGUUAAUGCCAUUUCCUUUUUUAUAAGAAGUGCCUAAGAAAUGCCUGGGACGGUCCUGAACUAGUGAUUGUGAAUUCCAAAUUUGAUGCCAGUUUCCUGUGUUAAGAAGCUAACUUCUGCCAACACAGUUGCUAAGUGAAAAGCCGAGGCCAUACUUAACCUAUUCCCAGCUCACCAAAGCCUAAUGUCACCCACAGCAAAACACCAGGCCCUGGUGCCUUGACCAGCAGCGACUCUUGAGAAGAAAGCUGCAGCUCACCAGGAUGGAAUCUGACCUCGGCUCUUGUAACCUUUCGCCUUCCUUCCCCUUCUAGAACUACACUAAAGAAUCCCCUGCCAUCAAGGACAGACUUUUGCGUUAUUUACUUACGUUACAGAGUUUGGGUUUAGAUAACCUGUUAUGUGAAGUAGAAAGUCAAGAAACAGAAACAUGCACAACAGUAAUGAUACCUAUUUUUUCCUAAUGUAAUACGCUGUACUCUAUAAGCCACCAUAUGCGUUUGCUUUAUUUUUUGCUUUUUUUCCCUCUAGCCUGAGCAGCAGUAGUUUUGCCUUUGACAGAAAAUUUCACAGAAAAUUAUGGUAAAAACAAAUUGAAUUUGAAGUUCAUUCUUUAAAAAAAGUCCCUUGCUACUGCAAAUCUAUACCAAACCACUACGUGCAUGGGGACCCAACUUUGAUACGAAGUGUGAUAUUGAAACAGCCAGGUGAUGGGAUUAUGGCUGAUUUUUGCUUUAUUCCUAGGACUUCUGAAUUUUCCAAUUAAAAAAAAUAAACUACAGACUUUCGUAAUCAUAAAAAAGUAAAAUGCCAUAAUAAAAAUUAGAUACACUACUAUAACAUUUCUUUACUGCUAUGACAUCUGACUAAAUGAUAUGAUUUUAUUUUUACCCUAUUAUGUUACUGUAUAUUUUUUCCUGUUUGAACUGUUUGUAUUUGAAGGAAAUUUUAUGUGAUUACCACAUAAAAAAAGAAUAAUAAAAAGCUCUUAACAUUGUUCAAUAUUUCUCUGUCUUUAAAAGCUGAAGGAACACUGAGCAGACACAGCUGAAUAUUGGCAUGUAAGUUUUCUACAACUGCCCUGCGCAUAUUUUAUUUACCUCUCCUGACACUUUCAUAGCUAACUAUUUAACUUUUGCAUGCCUUUAAGCCUAUGGCAAAAAUCUGUUUGCUUCCUCAUAACUGUCCUUCCUGUCCUUGCUAAUAGGACCCCAAUGCUACCGAUCUUUUCCAAGCAAUCUUGACUCUUAGGGGAGGCUGGGCCUCCCCGAGGCUUGGAGGCUGAAUCUUCACUGGUUGACAAGGUAAAGAGAUGAGAAGAGAAGUCUGAUGGGAAUGCUUUCUGGAAAGUUUACCUCACUAUUUAAAGCCACACAAGGGACAUCCCUUUUCUUCUGGGCAUUGUCAUCUGUAAGGGAUACAGGAACUGUGGCUGCCAUAUGGGGACCACAAGAAGUAUCGGCCUGAGAAGACCAGCCCACGCUGAGGAUGACGGGUAAAAAGAUGGCCAGAAUCUGGUCUUGGUAAAUUCAUUGGCUGCCCUACCUCUGGGCUUGCUAUGACUUGAGAAAAUAAAUUCCUUUACCAUCUAA